AAUCAACGCUGGCGGCGUGCCUCAGACAUGCAAGUCGAACGCGAAAUUUCCCUUCGGGGAGAAAGUAGAGUGGCGCACGGGUGAGUAACACGUGGGUAAUUUACCUUCGGGUGGGGAAUAACAACCGGAAACGGUUGCUAAUACCGCAUGAUGCAGCGGCACCACAUGGUGACAGUUGUUAAAGCGGGGGAUCGCAAGACCUCGCGCCUGAAGAGAAGCCCGCGGCAGAUUAGCUAGUUGGUAAGGUAAUGGCUUACCAAGGCAACGAUCUGUAGCCGGCCUGAGAGGGCGGUCGGCCACACUGACACUGAAUAACGGGUCAGACUCCUACGGGAGGCAGCAGUCGGGAAUUUUGGGCAAUGGGCGCAAGCCUGACCCAGCAACGCCGCGCGAAGGAUGAAGUAUUUCGGUAUGUAAACUUCACAAGAAUGGGAAGAAUAAGUAGGGGACAAUACCCCUAUGAUGACGGUACCAUUUGUAAGCUCCGGCUAA
rnacentral:rRNA from 1 species